rnacentral:rRNA from 1 species
GCCUACCACGCGACGAUCGGUAGCUGGUCUGACAGGAUGACCAGCCACACUGGAACUGAGACACGGACCAGACUCCUACGGGAGGCAGCAGUGGGGAAUAUUGGACAAUGGGGGCAACCCUGAUCCAGCAAUGCCGCGUGUGUGAAGAAGGCCUGAGGGUUGUAAAGCACUUUCAGUGGGGAGGAGGAUUGCUUGGUCACUACAUAAGGUAUUGGAUCUUACGUAAAAAGAAGCACCGGCUAACUCCUUGCCAGCAGCCGCGGUAAUACGGAGGGUGCGAGCGUUAAUCGGAAUUACUGGGCGUAAAGGGUGCGUAGGUGGUUUAGUAAAUUAUCUGUGAAAUCCCAGGGCUUAACCUUGGUGUGUCAAAUAAAACUGUUUAUCUAGAGAAUGAGAUAGGGUAUUGGAAUUUCCGGU